rnacentral:rRNA from 1 species
GGAAGAGAUAAGCGCUGAAAGCAUCUAAGUGCGAAGCUUGUUCCAAGAUGAGAUUUCCCACAGGGUUAACCUGGUAAGGCCCGUGGUAGACCACCACGUUGAUAGGCCGGAGGUGUAAGUGCGGUAACGCAUUCAGCCGACCGGUACUAAUCGGCCGAGGGCUUGGAUCG